CGGGCGGCGCGCGUGCGCCUCUUGCUAGCGCGUUCCCUCGGCCGCGUCAACUUGUCCUCUCUCUGUCGGCACGUCGGCUCCCGGGUGUCGCAACGUGCGAGUUUUACGGUCUCCAAUGGUAGCGGUCCCGAUUUCUCAUUGGGCAGAUUCGGGGGUAGAUUCGGGGUGCGUCUCCCCCGGAUCCUGCGCUUGCUCACGCAUAAUGCGGGAUUCCAGCGAUGGACGACGCACGGCUUUGAGACCUCUCGAAAAUCGUGCAAUGAUACUGGUUCGAGGGUCGAAAGAGGAAGUAACAUUUCGCAAGGAGGGAAAGCCGGAAGUUGAGUUGCGCGAUCAGGAAGUUGGAUUCUUACCAGUUUCACGGAGGCGCAAUGUCAAGUCUUGAUUAAAAGGUCAAGUGUUGAACAGAAAUCUCGUUUGUAAGAUCUAAUCGACCAUCCACGACAGGCAGAAAAUCUGACUCUUAUCUAAUUAAGGAGUAUCAUGAUGUGCGCCGUAACAUAUGGGUUCAUGAGGGUGAACUGUCAAAUCUCUCAUC